rnacentral:rRNA from 1 species
AGUGAACGCUGGCGGUAGGCCUAACACGUGCAAGUCGAGCGGCAGCACAGUAAGAGCUUGCUCUUACGGGUGGCGAGUGGCGGACGGGUGAGGAAUACAUCGGAAUCUACUUUUUCGUGGGGGAUAACGUAGGGAAACUUACGCUAAUACCGCAUACGACCUACGGGUGAAAGCAGGGGAUCUUCGGACCUUGCGCGAUUGAAUGAGCCGAUGUCGGAUUAGCUAGUUGGCGGGGUAAAGGCCCACCAAGGCGACGAUCCGUAGCUGGUCUGAGAGGAUGAUCAGCCACACUGGAACUGAGACACGGUCCAGACUCCUACGGGAGGCAGCAGUGGGGAAUAUUGGACAAUGGGCGCAAGCCUGAUCCAGCCAUACCGCGUGGGUGAAGAAGGCCUUCGGGUUGUAAAGCCCUUUUGUUGGGAAAGAAAAGCAGCAGGUUAAUACCCCGCUGUUCUGACGGUACCCAAAGAAUAAGCACCGGCUAACUUCGUG